rnacentral:ncRNA from 1 species
UUUUCUAAAAUCAUACUUUAUUUAUAAAUUUGAUUUAUUUUAAUCAAAAUAUUAUUCAUGAUAGAAUAACCAGAUUAUUUAUUCGCUAUUAAUUUAUACAAGUGGAAUUUUGUAAAAUUAAAUUAUUAACAACUUAUUUAGGUUAUGAGAAGCGAUGUAGAAGGUAGUAAUAAAGUGCCAGCACUAGCGGUCAUACUUUUAUCUUCAAAAUUAUCUGUAAACAGGGGAUAUAGAAUUAUAGACCAAAAGGUUUAGAUUAUGGAGGUAAAAUUCAUAAAUUUAUAUACGGUCUAAUAAAAUAUUAUAAAUUACGAAUCACAAACUAGGAUUAGAUACCCUACUAUGCGUAACGAAAUUUAUUCCCCUAAAAAGUAAUUGUUAAACUCAUGAAAUUCAUAUCAUGUGGCGGCCUUGGGUCUAAUCAGAGGCAGGUGUGCGUAAUCGAAGUUGCACGAACAUCUUACUUUUCUUAUCCUUGUACACCGCUGCUUUAAAGACUGGGAAAACCCCAUUCUGAAAUUUUAGCCCGGCUAAAAAAUAAAGCAAGUCAAGGUAUAGGCUAUGGAAAAGUGUUUCAUGCCUGUUAGUAUGGCGUUAGCCCUUUCGGUUUGAAAGAAUCGAAAAAGGAAGAAUUUGAGAGUAAGGACUUUCUCAUAAUGAUGUCCUGAACUAGCUACCUAAGGCGCACAAAUCGCCCGUCAGCCCUGCAAAAGGGUAAGUCGUAACAUAGUUGCCCUACCGGAAGGUGGAGCAGGAUAAACA